AGUGAACGCUGGCGGUAGGCCUAACACAUGCAAGUCGAACGGCAGCACAGUAAGAGCUUGCUCUUACGGUUGGCGAGUGGCGGACGGGUGAGGAAUACAUCGGAAUCUACUUUUUCGUGGGUGAUAACGUAGGGAAACUUACGCUACUACCGCAUAUGAUCUACGGGUGAAAGCAGGGGAUCUUCGGACCUUGCGCGAUUGAAUGAGCCGAUUUCGGAUUAGCUAGUUGGGGGGGUAAAGGCCCACCAAGGCGACGAUCCGUAGCGGGUCUGAGAGGAUGAUCGGCCACACUGGAACUGAGACACGGUCCAGACUCCUACGGGAGGCAGCAGUGGGGAAUAUUGGACAAUGGGCGCAAGCCUGAUCCAGCCAUACCGCGUGGGUGAAGAAGGCCUUCGGGUUGUAAAGCCCUUUUGUUGGGAAAGAAAAGCAGCAGGUUAAUACCCCGCUGUUCUGACGGUACCCAAAGAAUAAGCACCGGCUAACUUCGUG
rnacentral:rRNA from 1 species